rnacentral:rRNA from 1 species
UACGUAGGGCGCAAGCGUUUGUACCGGAAUUAUUGGGCGUAAAGAGCUCGUAGGCGGUUUGUCGCGUCUGCUGUGAAAACGCGAGGCUCAACCUCGCGCCUGCAGUGGGUACGGGCAGACUAGAGUGCGGUAGGGGAGAUUGGAAUUCCUGGUGUAGCGGUGGAAUGCGCAGAUAUCAGGAGGAACACCGAUGGCGAAGGCAGAUCUCUGGGCCGUUACUGACGCUGAGGAGCGAAAGCGUGGGGAGCGAACAGG